UUAUAUAUUAUAUUUCAAUGUAUUUUAUUCUAUGCAUAUUCUUAAGAAUAUAUUCUAAUAUCACGCCAUUUAUUACAGAUUUUUCACAACUACCAUUUUUUCCUGUUUUUUGGGAAGGAGAUGCUAGUGCUUCAAAACUAAACAUGUUACUACUCCUUCCUUCUGUUUCGUUCCCUGGAAAGGAUGUAAUGAUGCACUAAAAGCCAAGAGUAUUCUUGUCAGCCUUCAUUUCUUUCCUUCGACGAUUCCUGUUGACUAAUGGGCUU